rnacentral:rRNA from 1 species
UGCAGAAUCCCGUGAACCAUCGAGUUUUUGAACGCAAGUUGCGCCCGAAGCCGUCUCGGCGGUGGAGGGCACGUCUGCCUGGGUGUCAAGAAACGUCGCCAAACGUCCCUCUCCGCACCCUCCCGCCCGAGGGGGGAAGCAUCGAGGGGGCGGGCGGAUAUUGGCCUCCCGUGCGCGGUUGCUCGCGGUUGGCCCAAAAGAGAGUACCCCGGCGAGGCAGCCACGACGUGCGGUGGCAGAAAGCGUAUGCUCUCCUCGAACACCGUCGUGGGCCGGCCUCGUGGGGCGGGAAGGACUAAGGCCCCGAUGCGAAGUCGUGUUUCGCGAAGCGACCCCAGGUCAGGCGGGAGCACCCGCUGAGUUUAAGCAUAUCAAUAAGCGGAGGAAAAGAAACUUACGAGGAUUCCCCUAGUAACGGCGAGCGAACCGGGAACAGCCCAGCUUGAGAAUCGGAUGCCCUCGGCGUUCGA